rnacentral:lncRNA from 1 species
CCCUUUGUUCAGGUCUCUUCUGAAGAAAGGCACCAGAGGCUCCAGCUCUGGCCAUAAUGCCCCAGAUGAAGCUUGACAGGAGAACUGGACACAACAGGCCAGGUUUCCCUAGGAUCACCAGCUGUCAUGGACUGAUUUGUGUCUCUCCAAAUUCAUAUGUUGAAUACUUAACCUGCCAUGCGAUUGUGAUUGGAGAUAAUUCCUUUAGGGAAGCAAUGAAGGUUAAAUGAGGUCAUAGGUGGGAGCUUAAUCCAAUGGGACUGGGGUCCCUACAAGAAGAGGAAGACACCAGAGCUCUCUGUCUCCACACACAGAGAAAAGAGGCUGUAUGAGGACACAAGAGAAGGUAAUAGCUGUCUACAAACCAAGAAGAGAAGCCUCUCCAGAAAAUGAACCCUGCUGGAACUUGGUCUUGGACUUUCCAGCCUC